UACGUAGGAGACGAGAGAAAUCCGGAUUUACUGGGUGUAAAGCGCGGGUAGGCGGCGAGGUAAGUUGGAUGUGAAAGCUCUUGGCUUAACUGGGAGAGGUCGUUCAAGACUGCCUGGCUAGAGUGCAGCAGAGGGGAGUGGAAUUCCGAGUGUAGCGGUAAAAUGCAUAGAUAUUCGGAAGAACACCAGUGGCGAAGGCGGCUCUCUGGGCUGCAACUGACGCUCAGACGCGAAAGCUAGGGGAGCGAACGGG
rnacentral:rRNA from 1 species